CCUACGGGAGGCAGCAGUGGGGAAUAUUGCACAAUGGGGGAAACCCUGAUGCAGCGACGCCGCGUGAGUGAAGAAGUAUUUCGGUAUGUAAAGCUCUAUCAGCAGGGAAGAAACCCACCCUCCGGGGUGGCUGACGGUACCUGACUAAGAAGCCCCGGCUACCUACGUGCCAGCAGCCGCGGUAAUACGUAGGGGGCAAGCGUUAUCCGGAUGUACUGGGUGUAAAGGGAGCGUAGGUGGCAAGGCAAGUCAGAUGUGAAAACCCGGGGCCCAACCCCGGGAGUGCAUUUGAACCUGUCUGGCUAGAGUGCAGGAGAGGUAAGUGGAAGUCCUAGUGUAGCGGUGAAAUGCAUAGACAUUAGGAGGAACACCAGUGGCGAAGGCGGCUUACUGGACUGUAACUGACACUGAGGCUCGAAAGCGUGGGGAGCAAACAGGAUAGAUACCCGUGUAGUC
rnacentral:rRNA from 1 species